AAUUCAAGAAAUUAAGGGCUUAUGGGGGAUACCUUGGCAUUCAGAAGCGAUGAAGGACGUGGCUACCUGCGAUAUUCUUCGGGGAGCUGGAAGCAAGCUUUGAUCCGGAGGUCUCCGAAUGAGGCAACUCCAAGAACUACUUAUUGAAUACAUAGAUAAGAAAGAGUGAACCCAGGGAAUUGAAACAUCUUAGUACCUGGAGGAAAAGAAAGUAAAAACGAUUCCCUUAGUAGCGGCGAGCGAACUGGGAUCAGCCUAAACUAAUUAAUUAUUAGGGUUGUGGGACAGCGGCAUCAGAYUGGAUUAGCUAGAUGAACUAAUUGGAAUAUUAGACCAUAGAAAGUGAAAGUCUUGUAAUCGAAAGCUAUGAAUACUGCGCUGUAUCCCGAGUAGCAUGGAGCACGUGAAAUUCCGUGUGAAUCUGUGAGGACCACCUCAUAAGGCUAAAUAUUCCUGAAUGACCGAUAGUGAAACAGUACCGCGAGGGAAAGGUGAAAAGAACCCCGGGAGGGGAGUGAAAUAGAACAUGAAACCAUAAGCUUACAAGCAGUAGGAGAACGACUUAACGUUUGACUGCGUUCCUGUUGAAGAAUGAGCCGGCGACUUAUAGGUAAUGGCUUGGUUAAGAUAGUGAAUAUCGGAGCCGUAGCGAAAGCGAGUCUGAAAAGGGCGUUUGUCAUUAUUUAUAGACCCGAACCCGGAUGAUCUAACCAUGGCCAGGUUGAAACUUAGGUGAUACUAAGUGGAGGACCCAACCGACUGAUGUUGAAAAAUCAGCGGAUGAGUUGUGGUUAGGGGUGAAAUGCCAAUCGAAUCCGGAGCUAGCUGGUUCUCCCCGAAAUGCGUUUUGGCGCAGCGGUUAAUGUUAUAAUUUAGGGGUAAAGCACUGUUUCGGUGCGGGCUGGUAAAACGGUACCAAAUCGAGGCAAACUAAGAAUACUAAAUGAAUAAUUAACCAGUAAGACUGUGGGGGAUAAGCUCCAUUGUCAAGAGGGAAACAGCCCAGACCACCAGCUAAGGCCCCUAAAUAAUUACUAAGUGAUAAAGGAGGUGGGAAUGCUUAGACAACCAGGAGGUUUGCUUAGAAGCAGCAAUCCUUUAAAGAGUGCGUAAUAGCUCACUGGUCGAGUAGGCCUGCGCCGAAAAUGAAUGGGGCUAAGUAAUUUGCCGAAGCUGUGGGAUUUUAUAAUCGGUAGGGGAGCGUUCUGUUAUAGGUUGAAGCAUUAGCGAAAGCGGGUGUGGACGAAGCAGAAGUGAGAAUGUCGGCUUGAGUAGCGAAAACAUUGGUGAGAAUCCAAUGCCCCGAAAACCUAAGGUUUCCUUCGGAAGGCUCGUCCGCGGAGGGUAAGUCAGGACCUAAGGCCAGGCCGAGAGGCGUAGUCGAUGGACAACAGGUUAAUAUUCCUGUACUAUUUUUUAUUGACAACGAGGGACGGAGAAGGAUAGGCUAGCUGGAUGUUGGUUACCAGUUUAAGCGUUCGAGGUGUUGAGAAGUAGCGAAAAUACUUUGAGCUGAGGCGUGAAUACGAGAUGCUACGGCAUUUAAGUAGUUGAUUUCAUACUUCCUAGAAAAGCUUGCACUGUCAUAAAUAAAAAAUACCUGUACUAUAAACCGACACAGGUGGGUAAGUAGAGAAUACUAAGGGGCGCGAGAUAACUCUCUCUAAGGAACUCGGCAAAAUAACCCCGUAACUUUGGGAGAAGGGGUACCUUGAGAAAGGUUGCAAUAACCAGGUCCAAGCGACUGUUUACCAAAAACACAGGUCUCCGCUAAGUUGUAAAACGACGUAUGGAGGCUGACGCCUGCCCAGUGCCGGAAGGUUAAGGAAGUCGGUUCAAUGCUGAUAACUGAAGCCCCGGUGAACGGCGGCCGUAACUAUAACGGUCCUAAGGUAGCGAAAUUCCUUGUCGGGUAAGUUCCGACCCGCACGAAAGGCGUAACGAUUUGGAUACUGUCUCGGAGAGGGGCUCGGCGAAAUAGACAUGUCUGUGAAGAUGCGGACUACCUGCACCUGGACAGAAAGACCCUAUGAAGCUUUACUGUAGCUUGAAAUUGACUUCGGGCUUUAUUUGCGCAGGAUAGGUGGGAGGCGUUGAUCAUAUUUUUGCGGAAAUAUGCUAGCCGUUGGUGAGAUACCACUCUUGUAAAGCUAGAAUUCUAACCUUGUAUCGUAAGCAGGUCAAGGAACAUUUUCAGGUGGGCAGUUUGACUGGGGCGGUCGCCUCCUAAAAGGUAACGGAGGCGCACAAAGGUUUCCUCAUAUCGGUCAGAAAUCGAUAGUAGAGCGUAAAGGCAUAAGGAAGCUUGACUGCGAGACCUACAAGUCGAGCAGAGACGAAAGUCGGUCUUAGUGAUCUGACGGUUCCGAGUGGAAGGGCCGUCACUCAACGGAUAAAAGUUACUCUAGGGAUAACAGGCUGAUCUCCCCCAAGAGUUCACAUCGACGGGGAGGUUUGGCACCUCGAUGUCGGCUCAUCGCAUCCUGGGGCGGUAGUACGUCCCAAGGGUUGGGCUGUUCGCCCAUGAAAGCGGUACGCGAGCUGGGUUCAGAACGUCGUGAGACAGUUCGGUCCAUAUCCGGUGUGGGCGUUAGAGUAUUGAGAGGAUUCUUCUUUAGUACGAGAGGACCGAGAAGAACAGACCUCUGGUGUACCAGUUAUCGUGCCAACGGUAAACGCUGGGUAGCUAAGUCUGGAAAGGAUAACCGCUGAAAGCAUCUAAGUGGGAAGCCCGCCUCGAGAUGAGUACUCUCAUCCUUUAAGGAGUAAGGUCACGGCAAGACUAGCCGUUUUGAUAGGCAUUAGGUCGAAGUGUAGUAAUAUAUGAAGCCGAGAUGUACUAAUAGACCGAGGACUUG
rnacentral:rRNA from 1 species